GGGCAGCAACCCAACAACGGGUUGUCUGAUUCAUCUGAAAAUUUCAGGGCAGAUAGAUCUUGACCUGAUAAACAAUUUUAUCCUGUCAGAUUUGCUCUAAAUGCUUUGGUUUUUGAGUUAUAAGCCAAAAACUGCAUUUUACCCCUAUGUUCUAUUUUUAGCCGUGGCGGCCAUCUUGAUUCGAUGUCCGUGUCACUGGACACAUUUUUUAAAAUAAAUACCCCCAACAUGAUUGUGGCCAAGUUUGGAUUAAUUUGUCCCAGUAG
rnacentral:lncRNA from 1 species